rnacentral:rRNA from 1 species
CUGCCCUGAACUGGGGGAUAGCCCGCCGAAAGGCGGAUUAAUACCGCAUAAGACUUGGGUCCGGCAUCGGGCAGAAGUUAAAGAUUUAUUGGUUCAGGAUGGGGUUGCGUGUCAUUAGCUAGUUGGCGGGGUAACGGCCCACCAAGGCGACGAUGUCUAGGGGAUCUGAGAGGAUGGCCCCCCACACUGGUACUGAGACACGGACCAGACUCCUACGGGAGGCAGCAGUAAGGAAUAUUGGUCAAUGGGCGCAAGCCUGAACCAGCCAUGCCGCGUGCAGGAAGACGGCCCUACGGGUUGUAAACUGCUUUUAUACGGGAAUAAACCCUGAUAUGUAUAUCAGGCUGAAUGUACUGUAAGAAUAAGGAUCGGCUAACUCCGUGCCAGCAGCCGCGGUAAU